AGUGGAAGGAGGUCCACUCUCCUGCUGUUGCCACCUCCUGGUUGAGCAGCACCUUGUCCAGAACCGCCUCGUCUUCAUUCUCAUUGUCUUUAUUUCUGGUUUUCUGCUGUGCCGCAUUUAUCCCAUGCAUAUAUGACAGCCUUUAAGAAACAUCAGAGAGUAACAGAGACGGAGGUGCCGAGAAUCAGCAAAUGGAGAAGCCCUGGGCUCUGUUCCCCAGUGCUGUUGUGUUAAAGGAUUUUGUUAUUGUCAGUGGUGGUUUGCCCUUUUUGAAAAAUGGAAGCAUCAAAGUUUUAAACUUAUGCUAUCAUUAAAAUAACAACAACAUUCAUUGUCUGAAACAAAAAUUAACUGUGAAGUGAGAAUUUGAGAAGUCUCAGCCAGAACACAGUGCUGACCUUCAUCUGCGUUUUGUAGCCACCACGUCCAAUCCAUCACCUGCUGGUUGUAGCGGCAGAGAGAAGGAUGCAACCCCUGUCCUGCUGUUGUUUUAUGGCUGAUGAUUCAUGAAGACAGAAAAAAUGCCCUCAUUUUGGCAGCUUUCAUUUGAUCAUUCUUUCCCACCUUCCCCAGCCUCUGGGAGAUGUGUUUAUUGCCAGCUUCACUGCAGAGGAGACAAAUAAGUAACCCAGAUGUUGGUGUUUGUGGUGCCUUUGCAGACACCUCCAUGACACGUCAUAUCAUACACUGCAUAUUGGAUGUAACGUGAGCAAUUUAUGAGUCCAGACGCAUCGACUGCUCUCCUUGUGCCCCUGCUGACAUUCCCAAGAGAUCAAUAUCCUGUAAAAGCCUGAAGAUUGCUUCCUUUAAAUGCUUACUAAUUACAGAUUCUGCAAAACUAUUUCAUAAGCCAGUUCUGUGGAACCCCUUUCUGGCCAUUUCCUGAAGCAACUUUCUUUCCUAAUCAUCCCCAUAACAUGAAGGCCAGGUUCUGCAAGUAAAGGGUGGUGAGGCAAUUCUGGAAUCAUCUAAGUGGCAAGCCCAGGGGGGUGGGUUUCAGAGAACACAUAGAGGAAAGUGGAGGCUCGGGAGGUGUGGAAAUACUGACCUGAUGGAAUUAACCAUCUUCCCGGGAGCAAGACUGAGCCCAUGGAGGGUGCUGUGGAGCUUGCUGCAGGUUCUGCUGGAUAGGAAAUUGUGUCUCAUCCACCUGCUGUCUGCUUCUGUCCUGUCUUAGCCCAGCAGAGCUGUUUUAACACAGACAUUUGCAGCCUGCCCAGUACUCUCCUGGAACCAAUAAGUCGCCAGUUAGGAAAAAGAUCAGCACUGACCAAACACAGAGAUGUUGGAAACCUGCAUUAAUCCCCAGUAGAGGCAGAGGCUCUGAAUGCUGAAGCCACAGCUACGACUUGGCCACACUCUGCACAUGGCCCCAGACAUUCAGAUUUCUGCACCCUCAGGGUGGCUUGCAGGCUCCAGAGCCGGGGUUCGGGCCCUGCUGACCACAGCCAGCUGUCCCCUGCAGCCUCAGACCAGGGCCAAAUUCCUGGUGUGCUUCCCUCCUGCACCCACUCAACAGCUCUGUGGCCUUUGCAAGCACCUGCCUGACAGGGCUAUGGCAAUGUGUGGAGUCAGACAAUGGUGCCAAGUCGGGAGCGGACUUACGGUGAGACAGUGUAGAUAAAGCCUGGGGCCCAGCUCCCCAGCAGCACCUGCUCCUGCACUGUGGCCACCGUGGCAACGUAGCUGCUUCUAUUUCCUUGAGCUCCAUUGCCAUCUUUUCCCAGGCGGGGCCCCUUCACCCCCUGCACCUGCCACCAUCCGCCCUUGCCCCUUACUCCUGAGCCUCCUUUCAGUCCUGCUCUUGGAAGGGAAAGAACCCCUGGCUUGGGGAGCCUGCCUGGUCCUGGGGUGGCCGCCUGCCAAGGCCCUGGCAUCUCCCAUCCUGAGGCUCCUGCCCUGCCUCUGAGCUCUCCCUCUCACUCCCGUCCCCUUGGCCUCUCCCGGCUGGGGCCUUGCUGUCUGUCACCCCUGAACGGAGCUGAUGCUGACACCCCAGAACAGCAGGGACCUGGAACUGUUCCAGUCACCUGCUUCAAGCAGCACCUUGAGGACAGACCUUCACCUGCACUUGGAGCAUUUAGUUGAACUGCAGUUUUGAUAAUAAUGUAACUGUGUGCAAACACUAGAGCAAGUGACUGUGGUGUGGAAGGGCGAAUACUCGGGA
ensembl:lncRNA LINC00242 long intergenic non-protein coding RNA 242